AGAGUUUGAUCAUGGCUCAGGAUGAACGCUGGCGGCGUGCUUAACACAUGCAAGUCGAACGAGAAUCAAUGGAAAGAGGAUUCGUCCAAUUGAAGUUGAGGAAAGUGGCGGACGGGUGAGUAACGCGUGAGGAACCUGCCUUGGAGUGGGGAAUAACAGCUGGAAACAGCUGCUAAUACCGCAUAAUGCAACUGGGUCGCAUGGCCCUGGUUGCCAAAGAUUUAUCGCUCUGAGAUGGCCUCGCGUCUGAUUAGCUAGUAGGCGGGGUAACGGCCCACCUAGGCGACGAUCAGUAGCCGGACUGAGAGGUUGGCCGGCCACAUUGGGACUGAGACACGGCCCAGACUCCUACGGGAGGCAGCAGUGGGGAAUAUUGGGCAAUGGGCGCAAGCCUGACCCAGCAACGCCGCGUGAAGGAAGAAGGCUUUCGGGUUGUAAACUUCUUUUGUCAGGGACGAAGCAAGUGACGGUACCUGACGAAUAAGCCACGGCUAACUACGUGCCAGCAGCCGCGGUAAUUC
rnacentral:rRNA from 1 species